GAUCAAUCCAUCUCUCUGUCAUUUGGCAGAUGUGGUAUAUAUCUGAAGUUACAGCUGGCAGUCUGUAAUUAACCGACAGUUCUUAGGAACCGAUACACUUUAUUCAGUAUAAAGGAGAAAUCACACCAUAAGCAUGCAUAAAUAUAAUGCAUAUGCCUGUGUGCAUGCACGAGAUAUGUGUGCCUACACACAAAUACUUUUUUUCCACCAGCGGCCUACGAUUUGCUUGGGAAAAUGUGUGAAGCAUCUGGUGGCAGCAGAGGGGCAGUCUGACACAAUGGCACCUGACAUGGAACUGCAUAUGAAGCAAAGAUGUGAAAUUUAAUUCCUCCCUGCAGAAAAGGCGACAGACGGUGACAUUCACUGAUGCUUGCUGAACAUCUGUGGAGACCUAACAGUGGAAGUGAGCACCAUGAGGUGAUGAGUGGUGUGUUUCAGCAGUGGUGACAGCAACAGUGAAUUACCUCAGCUGAUGCAUGGAUUUACCAUGGGCCUAAUCAACAUGAUAGCCUCCUGUGUGGUGUAACAUUAAUCUGUGCCCUUGGGAAAAAGCUGGAGCUCUCUUCUCAGCAUGUGGCAGUGGACCAACCUGUGACAUGGGGUGACAGUGAUACCCGUGCCUUGCUGGCAGCCCCAUUUCUAUUGGUGUCAUCACCCAGCCAUUCUCAGGCAGUCAUCGGCUAUGUCUGAUGCUUCCCUAUCCCUGGCAUGCUCUGAAGACAGUUAAAAUACAAUCCAGCCCCAGGCCCUGUGGUGCUGGAGUUGAUGUUCUGCCAAGCAGAGGACCACUGACUGUGCCAGACAGAGAGGGUGGUUGUCCUUGGCAGCAGAACUACAAAGCAGAUGUUGAGAUGUGCUGCAUACUUUGCUCAACUCAGAUCAGUAGAAGAGCUCAGAGGGUUGUCAUCAGUGACACAGAGUCUGAUUAGAAGCCUGGAACUAGUGGUGUUCCCCAGGAGCUGGUGCUGGAUCUGAUCUUGUUCAACAACAUUGUUAACAACCUGGAUGAAGAGAUAGUCUCCAUCCUCAGCAAGUUUGCUGAUGAUACAAAGCUGGGAGGACAUCCAGACACACUGGAAGGCUGUGUUACCAUUCAACAAGACCUGGACAGGCUGGAGAGUUGGGAAGAGAGGAAAGGUUCAACAAAAGCAAGUAUAGAGUCUUACAUCUGGGGAGGACUAACUGCAUGCAUCAGUACAGGCACAAGUGCUUUUGAGCAUGGAGAAUGAAUGAAGAAAUGAGAAGAAUCUUCAAUUCUCUGUUUGGUGAUCACAGAUAAGGUCCAGGUGGAAAAUAUCUCCUCUGCUCAAGAAUAUAAUCCAGCAAGUUACCAGGCCAAAUGGCUCUCUGAACACGAGCCCACAAAGCGCUGAAUGAGGAAGUGCACUGCUCCAGGAGAUUUCAGCACAGCCAGCCAGAAGGUGGCUUUAGCAGUGGUGCUAGAAACAAAAAAAUGGCUUGAAACGCGUAUUAGAAUUCAGUAAAGAGAAACUACGGGGAAGAAAGAAGUACAAGCCAACUGCAGAGCAGGAAAACUGUUGAACAUUCUCCAAUUUCUUUUGACACUUCACAGUGACAGAAACCCCUGUGCUAAAUAUGUUGGUGCUGAGCUGCUGUGAAAAUUUACUGUUCAAUAGCUUCCAGAGUUUCUCAUCUCUUACCUACAGUGAGCAAGCAUAGUGUCUGACCAUUGGGCUUCCUUGCUGAGUAUGGCUGUCUACUGAGUAGCUCAAAGACUUUUAAAGGAUUUUGUGAACUAUGUUUCCAAGGUGCCCUCUACUUUUAAUCUCCUUAUGACUGGAAAUUGUUGGUCCAUGGCGCUAUUGGUGAGAAGCAAAGCUACUGAACUUUGUGAAUCAGCAAAUGAAUGAAAAAUCACUGGGACUAACAAUGCCUGUUGGAUCUUAAAAGAAAAUAACACUUCAUAACGUGCUUCAUUUUGACAAACACAAUUUCAUUGUAAUUUGAAGUAGCAACACUUGGCAAUAUAUUGAAUCUUCGUUUUUCUUAGGUCACGUGCUGGCUGGCUGGCAGCUGGGUCCAAGGAUUGAAGGUAAAAGACACAGAGGUGGAAAUGAAACACAAGGUCAUUUAAUUUACAAUCCUUCAUUUUGCUCAGCAACUUUUUGACUAGUAUCAUUUUAACACUAUUGAUGAUCUCAACUGAUUAUUUCCUGUAGAGAGUGUUCACAGCCUAAUAUUAAUUGCACAACACUGUAAAAUUUCCAAAAAAUUUGAAGGGGUUAAAACAAAAUGGUACUGCAGCUUUCUGCUAUUAGAUAUCUGCUAAUGGGAGCACAUGAUGAAGGUUAGAGUAAAUUAAUUGCUUGAUUAUACAACCCUUGGAUCUUGCGUUCAUAGGCUAAGUAACAAAUCAGUGUUUCUGUAUAUUUUUAUUCUAAUUACAUAAUGAUAUAGUAGAGUGUAGGGACAGUCAUCCCAAUGGUAAUUUUUAAUUGUGGAAGUUCAGAGACUUCUGGGUAGGUUGGAACAGUAGCUGAACCUGCUGCUCUGUUUUUGGUUUUGCUCACACUGAAAUGUAGGAAAGCCUCUUAGUGGGAUGCAUGCAUGCAUGUCUAGGAAUACUGGCACUGCUUGGUUUCACUAAUUUUUUUUUUUUUAAUAGACAAAGUGGAUUUUCUGCCCAACUUAGAAACAUAAAUCUGCCAAGAUGUAUAACAAAGACUAAGUCAUGGACAAAGCAGCCAGAGGAAACUCUGAAACUGUCUGAUAGCACUGGGGUAACAGAACGUCACACUAAGCUGCAACACCUCAUCCGCCAGCAAGCUCCUUUGGACUGUAGCUGCCCUAUAACGUUUCUCACAUAUGCAUGGAACUAUGAAAUUCAGUGUUCCAGCACAACAUUAGUUAGAUUUAGCUUUGGUGCUUGGCUGCUGGUUACUGCUGAAAAAACAGAGGUUUGCUUUGCUAAAGCAUCCAAAAUGAAAUUUGCUUGCUGUUGCUGCACUAAGUUGCCAUCCAGCAUGCACUGAAGAAAAAAAUCCUGGUUAUUUUCCCAUGGCUCCCUUAGCCAUACAAGUGCUAGGUGGGAAUGCACCUUCCUUGUGAAAAUGGACUGUGGAGAACAGAUCAGCUGGAUUCUCAGGUUGUUCUCCUGGGGCCUUGGCAGGCUGGGACUCAGAGCUGCAGGCAGCCUCCCUUCCACUCAACCUCUGCAGGGUGAGCAAAACAGUGCUUCUACCUCCAUGUAGCUCUGUUUUGUAUAUGUCCUCUGUUCACUGCAAACAUAUGAAAGACACAUGUUUUAUUGCAGAUUUUUUUGGCAUGCAGACAAAGUGCAAGGAGAGGGGCUAAUUAGGCUUCAGGGUGGCACCUCCCUCUAGCAUCAUAAAUAAAAGCUAUUUAACAAAAAAUAUAAUAGGAUGCCAGUAAAAAUGCUUGGAAAUAGAAUUACAAUAGCCAAACUUGUAUUUUGUAAGUUGUUUACCAUAAAUGAAAUAAAGUACAAAGGAAAUGGAAAAUGUGGUAACUGUACUGAAUGCCUUUAUAUAGUUUUCAGAUGCCUCUCGGAGUUAUAUUUUAUUUCCUCUCAAUAUGUUUAUAGACUCUGUGUGGAAGGUCAUACUAUUUUUCCCUAGAGUUUUUUUCCUUCUGUCUUGGCUAAACCUUCCUAGAAGAGUUUUGGAACUUGGCAGUGUAAGAAACUUAAGACAGAGAAGCAGACUUCCCUUCCUAGACAUAUGUCAAUUUGAAAAUAUGAAAAAAAAAAGUUGCAGUAAAUAUAAAUCAAACACCAUGUGAUCUGCAGCAAAGUAGAGGGUUUUACCUAUCAAUCAGCUCUGAAGAUCCCAAAUUUAGUGCAACUAUGUUGAAGAUCACCAUCCUAUCUGCAGUCUCUACGUAGCUCUUAUGAUGACUAAUAUACCUUUCUUAUCUAAAACUAUUAGAGAAUGCUUUUUGCAAGUUAGCACUGGCAGUCACAAGUGAGUGGACACCAUCAUUUUUAACUUAGGUAACAUUCCAACAAAGUAACUGUGUCAUAUCCUUGUGUCAAGAAGGCUCUAGAUCUGAGACUUACCAGGCUAAGGUACAAACAAGAACUGGC
ensembl:lncRNA